rnacentral:rRNA from 1 species
AACGAACGCUGGCGGCAUGCCUAACACAUGCAAGUCGAACGAGACCUUCGGGUCUAGUGGCGCACGGGUGCGUAACGCGUGGGAAUCUGCCCUUAGGUUCGGAAUAACAGUUAGAAAUGACUGCUAAUACCGGAUAAUGACGAAAGUCCAAAGAUUUAUCGCCUAGGGAUGAGCCCGCGUAGGAUUAGCUUGUUGGUGAGGUAAAAGCUCACCAAGGCGACGAUCCUUAGCUGGUCUGAGAGGAUGAUCCCCCACACUGGUACUGAGACACGGACCAGACUCCUACGGGAGGCAGCAGUAAGGAAUAUUGGACAAUGGGGGCAACCCUGAUCCAGCCAUGCCGCGUGGAUGAUGAAGGCCUUAGGGUUGUAAAGUCCUUUCGACGGGGAAGAUAAUGACGGUACCCGUAGAAGAAGCCCCGGCUAACUUCGUGC